CUUUAAGUUUAAUUUUCCGUUAUCGAAAAAUCGAACUUUAUUUAAAUAAAGUGUAUUUUUAAAAUACAAAAAACUUAGUGAAUUGAAUCAUCUAAGUAACUAAGGAAUAAAAUCAACCGAGAACGCUGAGAGUAGUGGCGAGCGAAAUUAGCACAAGACUUAAAAUUUUUAAAAGUUUUAUUAGAAUAAAUUAAAAGCCAAAGAAGGAUACUUGAUAAAAGUAGCCCUGUAUAAUAAAACUUAAAAUUUUAAUAUAAGUAAAACGAUACAAGUCAUGUGUUGUUUAAAUAUUGGGGGACCAUCCUCAAAGUCUAAAACUUUUAAUGAUUGAUAGUAAAUUAGUACCGUGAGGGAAAGGUGAAAUAAAUUGAAAAUUGAAAUUUAAUGUUGACAAGCAAUUAAAGCUUUUUAAAGUAAUAAUGUACCUUUUGCAUAAUGGACCAAUAAGUUUAUUUUAGAAGCGAGCUUAAAUUAUAAAACUAUGUAGGCGAAAAAAAAUUAAGUAUUAAAUAAAAUGCGUUUUAGUUUUUAAAAUAAAACCCGAAACUAAGUGAUCUAACCAUGAACAGGUUGAAAUUUAAAUUUCGAUUUAAUGAAGGACCGAACUCGUGUAUGUGGAAAAAUACUGAAAUGAUUUGUGGUUAGGAGUGAAAGGCUAAUCAAACUUAGAGAUAGCUGGUUUUCUGCGAAAUCUAUUUUAGUAGAGCGUUUAAAAUUGCUUUAUUUUGGGGUAGAGCUCUCAAUAAGUUAUGGGGAUGAAAAUCUUACUGACCUUAAGGAAACUUCGAAUACAAAAAAAAGAUUUUAAACAGACAAACUAUGAGUGCUAAGAUUCAUAGUUGAGAGGGAAACAGCCCAGACUAUUAGUUAAGGUCCUAAAAAGCAAUUAAGUGUAAAAAAUGUGAAAAAAUGAUAACAGUCGAUAGGUAGGCUUAGAAGCAGCCAUCCUUUAAAGAAAGCGUAACAGCUCAUUGAUAGAGUUUUUUUGCAUUGUAAAUGUAGAGGGACUUAAAUUGCUUACCGAAACUAUAGAUUUUUAAAAAUAAAAUUUUAUUUUUAAAAAUGGUAGCAGAACGUUCUGUAAAUUAAAGAAAAUUUAUGGUUACAUAAAUUGGAGAAAUCAGAAGCGACAAUAUUGGUAUGAGUAGCGAUUAACAAUGUGAAAAACAUUGUCACCUUAAGUUCUAGGUUUCCAAAAUAAAGGCUAAUCCUAUUUGGAUAUAAUCGGUCUCUAAGAAGAUAACGAAAGUUUAAUUUUAUGAGAAAAAAGAAAAAAUCUUUUUUUAUUUUUUAAGUGACAAAAUAUAAAUAGAAUUUUUAUUUUAUGGAAAAAAAUAAAUGUUUUAUAGUAUUUUCAGGAAAUAGCUUAAAAAAUUUUAAAAACCGUACCUAAUCCGACACAGGUGAACUAGUUUAGUAAAUUAAGGUGUUUGAGAGAAUUAUGUUGAAGGAACUCGGCAAAAUGACUCCGUAACUUCGGAAUAAGGAGUGACUUUUCAAGGGCAACCUUAAAAAGUUGUCACAAAAUCGGGAGCAGCGACUGUUUAAUAAAAACACAGGUUUCUGCUAAUUCGUAAGAAGAUGUAUUGAAACUGACGCCUGCCCAGUGCUGCAAGAUUAAAGGAAAAUGUUUUUAGCUUUUUCCCUAAACCCCAGUAAACGGCGGCUGUAACUCUGACGGUCCUAAGGUAGCAAAAUUCCUUGGCAUUUAAUUGGUGUCCUGCAUGAAUGGCGUAACGACUGCUCCGCUGUCUCCAACAUAAACUCAGUGAAAUUGAAUUUUCCGUGAAGAUGCGGAAUACUUACGGCUAGACGGAAAGACCCCGUGCACCUUUACUAUAAUUAUGUAUUGUACUAAAAAUUUUUGUGUGUAGAAUAAGUGGAAAAGUUGUAUUUUUACUUAAAAGGUAAAAAAGUAUGUUUGCGCUAGCAAGUUAUAUUACCAACGCUAUGUGAAAUACCACUCUCAAAAGUUUUUAGUACUUAUUAUUUUUAGACAGUUUGUAAUUGUUAGUUUGACUGGGGCGGUCGCCUCCUAAAGAGUAACGGAGGCGUACAUAAGGUAAGUUUGAAUUGAAAUACAUCAAUUUGUAUGCGUAAUAGUAAAAUAUUUGCCUGACUGUAAGAUUGACAAAUCAAACAGGGACGAAAGUCGGUUAUAGUGAUCCGGUGAUUCUGAAUGGAAAAGGUCAUCGCUCAACGAAUAAAAGGUACGCCGGGGAUAACAGGCUAAUCACCCCCUAGAGACCCUAUCGACGGGGUGGUUUGGCACCUCGAUGUUGGAUUAUCGCAUCCUGGAGCUGUAACUGGUUCCAAGGGUUUGGCUGUUCGCCAAGAAAGGCGGUACAUGAUCUGAGUUUAGAACGUUGUGAAACAGUUUGGUCCCUAUCUACCGUAAGUGUGAAAAAUUGAAAGGAGUAGACCUUAGUACGAGAGGACCGGGAAAAACGAAUCCAUUGUUUAUCGAUUGUCAGACCAUUAGCAUUGUCGAGUAGCUACAUUCGUAAUAAAUAAUUGCUGAAAGCAUCUAAGCAAGAAAUUAACCUUAAAACUAAUUUUUUAAAAAAUGUAGUAGAUGACUACAUGAAUAGGCUUAAUGUGUUAGAAUUGUAAGAUUUUUAGCAAAUAAGUACUAAAAAAUAAUUUAGAAGAAAUUUUUUAACAUUUUUUGUAUUUUAUAAUAUUUAUUAAAAUUAAUUU
rnacentral:rRNA from 1 species